ACCAGUGUGGGGCGCGGCUUAGGGAAGGUGAGCAGAGACCAGGACGGAACGUCAGCUGAAGGACAGGGCCGGCUUGGGGCGUGGCUAGCGCGGGACUGGGCCUAGGGAGGGUGAGCGGAUUUUGGGGCCGGGGACGUCCGCUGAGGAGCGGGGUUGGUAUAGGACGUCGCGAACGUGGGGAGGGGCCUAGGGAGGGUGAGCGGGAACCGCACAAAAGCCGAGGGGCAGGGCCGGUGUAGGACGUGGCCAGCCAUGUGGCGCGGCCUAGGGAGGAUGAGCGGGGAGUGGGUGUCAGGCGAGGGGCGGGACGGGCGUAAUACGUGGUCACCGUGAGGCGGAGCCUAAGGAAGGUGAGCAGAGCGCCCAGACGUGGAAUCAACGACCGGCGGGUCGAGGGAAGUUCUGGAGCCUGGGAACUCCCAAGACCAAGGUGUCAGCAGAUUCAGUAUCCUUGAUGUGCCUGCCUUCUCACUGGGUCCUAACUUGGUAGAGAGAGAGAGAAAGAGAGCUGUGGUGUGUUCCUCUAAGAAUUACUCCAGUCCCUUCACCGGGGACCUCCUCUCAAGACCUCAUCUAAACCUAAUUACCUCUCAAAACGCCCCACCUCCAGCUUUUCCUGCAUACGGUUUGCAUUCUCUGUGAGUGGAAAUCCGGAGGAAGAGACGUGGUGGCCGAACCCUUGAUAAUGCAACUGCAGAAAAAACAGGAUUACCAUACGGAGGAUUGAUGCAGUCAUCAUUGUUGUUAAGAAUGGAGAGCUCACUGCAGGAGAGAUCACUGUGGGGCCAUCCUUCGGACGAGCCAUCUCAGGAGCCCCUAACCGGACCACAGGACCUGUCUGCCCUGAUACCUUAUAAAGAACAAGAAUCUGUGACCCUCAAAGAUAUAGCUGUAGACUUUACCCAGGAAGAGUGGGCCCUGAUGGACACAUCCCAGAGAACGCUGUACAGAGAUGUGAUGCUGGAGAACAUUAGUCAUCUGGUCUCUGUGGGGUGUCAUUUCUUCAGAUCAGAUGUGAUCUCCCCGUGGGAGCAAAGAGGGGAGCUGUGGAGGGAAGAAAGAGGACCUCCCCAAGGCUGGAGUCCAGGCAUGAAUAAAAGCCAUAACAAGCAAGAAAUAAUAUCUAUGCAAGAUAUCUACAUGAAGGACCCACCUAACUGCUGGACAAUACAGAAACGUCAUGCAGGAGAAGACCUCUCUGUAUAUAGUGGGUAUGAAGUUUUCAUUCACACCUACACAUUGACACAACAUGUCUUAACUCACACUAGACAGAAACUCUAUAGAUGCAAUGAAUGUGGAAAACACUUCACCCGAAACGCCAACCUUCAUACCCAUAAAAUAAGUCACACAGGAGAGAAUCCAUUUGCUUGUAAUCAGUGUGGGAGGCGCUUCAGGUAUUUUUCAUCUUUAACUAGACAUAAGCGAAUUCAUACUGGAGAGAAGCCUUAUGAAUGUCAUCUAUGUGGGAAAGCCUUUGUUCGUAGUUCCCUUAAACAACAUCAGAGAAUUCACACUGGCGAGAAACCAUAUACAUGUCCUCUAUGUGGAAAAGGCUUCGUUACAAGGUCUAAUCUUCGAGAACAUGAGAGAACUCACAGUGGAGAGAAACCAUAUAAAUGUCAUCUAUGUGGAAAAGCUUUUGUUCAAAGCUCUUGUCUUAGAAAACAUGAGAGAACUCAUACUGGAGAGAAACCAUAUAAAUGUCAUCUAUGUGGAAAAUCCUUUGUUCAAAGUUCUUGUCUUAGAAAACACGAGAAAACUCACACUGGAGAGAAACCAUAUAAAUGUCAUCAGUGUGGAAAAGCCUUUGUUACAAGCUCUGAUCUUGGAAAACACGAGAAAACUCACACUGGAGGGGAAUCAUAUACAGGUUAUCUGUUUGGAAAAUCUUUUGUUCAAAGCUCUUGUCUUAGAAAACAUGAGGAAACUCAGCCUGGUGAGAAACCAUGUACGUGUCAUCAGUGUGGGAAAGCCUUUGUUACGAGCUCUGAUCUUAGAAAACACGAGAAAACUCACACUGGAGGGGAAUCCUAUACAUGUCAUCUAUGUGGAAAAGCCUGUGUUGAAUGCUCUUGUCUUAGAAAACACGAGAAAACUCUCCCUGACGAGAAACCAUAUACAUGUCAUCAGUGUGGAAAAGCAUUUGUUACAAGCUCUAAUCUUAGAAAACAUGAGAAAACUCACACUGGAGAGAAACCAUAUACAUGUCAUCUUUGUGGAAAAGCCUUUACUCAAAGCUCUAAUCUUCGGGAACAUGAGAGAACUCACACCGGUGAGAAACCAUAUAUAUGUCAUCUAUGUGGAAAAGCCUUUGUUCAAAGCUCUUGUCUUAGAAAACAUGAGAAAACUCACACUGGGGAGAAACCAUAUACAUGUCACCUAUGUGGAAAAGGCUUUGUUACAAGAUCGAAUCUUCGACAACAUGAGAGAAUUCACACUGGAGAGAAACCGUAUAAAUGUCACCUGUGUGGGAAAGCCUUUCUUCAAAGCUGUAAUCUUCGAGAACAUGAGAGAACUCACAGUGGAGAAAAACCUUAUACAUGUCAUCUAUGUGGAAAAGACUUUGUUCAAAGCUCUUAUCUCCGAGAACAUGAGAGAACGCACACUGGUGAGGAACCAUAUACAUGUCAUCUAUGUGGAAAAGCAUUUGUUACAAGCUCUAAUCUUAGAAAACAUGAGAAAACUCACACUGGUGAGAAGCCAUUUACAUGUCAUCUAUGUGGAAAAGGCUUCGUUAUAAGGUCCAGUCUUCGAGAACAUGAAAGAAUCCACACUGGGGAGAAACCAUAUACCUGUCAUCUAUGUGGAAAAGCCUUUCUUCAAAACUCUUACCUUCGAGAACAUGAGAGAACUCACACUGGUGAGAAACCAUAUAAAUGUCUUCUAUGUGGAAAAGCCUUUGUUCGACGGUCUUGUCUUAAAAGACACGAGAAAACUCACACUGGAGAGAAACCAUAUACAUGUCAUCAGUGUGGAAAAGCCUUUGUUACAAGCUCUCAUCUUAGAAAACACGAGAAAACUCACACUGGCAAGAAACCAUAUAUAUGUCAUCUAUGUGGAAAAGGCUUUGUUACAAGGUCUGAUCUUCUAGAACAUGAAAGAAUUCACAUUGGAGAGAAACCAUAUGCAUGUCAUCUAUGUGGAAAAGCAUUUGUUACAAGCUCUGAUCUGAGAGACCAUGAGGGAACUCACACUGCAGAGAAACCAUACGCAUGUCUUCUGUGUGGAAAAGCCUUUGUUACAAACUCUGAUCUGAGAGACCAUGAGGGAACUCACUCUAAUUCUAGUGAAUGAACAUGGAAGUGCCUUCAGCCACAGCGCUAAUGUGAAACCAACCAGAGGACUCAGGUGGGGGAAGUUCCAUGGUCAUAUUCAUUAUGGAAAUGCCUUCAUUUUUAACUUCUCCUUACACAACGUGAGUGAACUGCAUUUGGAGGAACCCUAUAUUUACAAAGGGGAAGAGACAUUAGCUGGCCUCUGGUCAUAGGGUGCACAAGAAAAUCCAGUGAAUAACAGUCUAAUCUCCUUAAAUGGGAAAUGACAAGAAAAUCUUUACAGAAAGAGGUCACUGUAGGAGAAUAACAGAAAAAUUAAUGCUGGAGAAGUUAUUCAUUGUUACAUGCAUGGAAAAAAACUUGACUAGUAGAAAAACCAUUGUAGGCAUGUGAAGUUUCACACUCUGUAUAAUAGUGAACGAAUGGCAGUCUAAAGUGAUUUUUAAUUCCUUAGUCAACAUGUAGUUUCUCACACUGUACAUAUAGCAUUGCUAAAAUCAGAUAAAAGGUUAGACUUUGCAUUAGAAAUCCCUGACUAGGAAAAACAUUUAUCAAGAAAGUCUUAACACACAAUUUAGAUAUUAAUUUAUAAUUUUGCCUAAUGGCCUAUUAUAAAAAUAUAAGAAAGGUAAGAUUGUGACAUCAUCUGGGAAUUCUAAACUCAGAAUUUUGUAACUUUUGUUUUUUAGAAUAGUUCUUGGAACUGGAUAUGAAGCAAAGUUGUUGCUGAAAAAUCCAUUGUGUUGGUCAGGGCCUAUUUUUCAUGCAUCAAUAGUAGUUAUGAUGAUUGGAUUCAACUAGAAAGUGUCUUUGAAUAUUAACCGAAAAACAACACAAGAUGAUGCGUCAUGACUACAUAUUGUUAACCAUGUAUGUGGGUCGUAGUGAUGAACUAAAGAUUGUUACAUAGAUAACUUGUGACUGAAUUCUGUAUAAAUUUUCAUUUUAAAAUGCCAUUAUUGAGGGACAUCUGGGUGGCUCAGUCGGUUAAGCAUUCGAAUUUGAUUUAGGUCUUGAUCUCACAGCUGAAUUCAAGCCCCACGUUUGGGCUCUGUGCUGACAGCUCAGAGCCUGGAGCCUGCUUGAGAUUCUGUCUCAUUCUUUCUCUGCCCCUCCCCCACUGUCUCUCAAAAAUAAACAAAUGUAAAGAUUAAAAAGAAUGAAAUGCCAUUAUUGAGACAAAGAAGGGUAUUACCUAACAAUAAGGGGUCCAUUCAACAAUAGGAUAUAGUGUGUAAAUAUUUAUUCACUCAACAUAGGAGCACCUACAUGUAUAAAACAAAUAUGAACAGAUGUUAAGGGAGAGAGAGUUAUGUAAUAGAAGGGGGGCGUUAAUACACCCUUCCAACAAUGAAUGAAACAUUCAGACAAAAUCAGAAAACAUCAACCGUAAGUGACACGUUAGAUGAGAUGGACUUCAGAGAGGUACACCGCACACUUCAUCCCAAAGCAGCAGAAUAACAUACUCUUGGCAAGUUUCCAUGAGACAUUCUCCAGAAUUGGUCAUAGUUACUGCCUGUUAGUAGCAAUGAGUAAUUUUUUUUUCUCUUUUACCCAAGCCAUGUAAUUGCCCCUAUUCCUCAUUCUCCUAUAAAGCCCUUGCUUUCACCCCACAGAUAGGACACUUUUCUGUUUACUGCUGGAAUCGGUGCUCCCCAAACUGCAAAUCUUUAAUCCCAAGUAAACACUCAUCUGCCUCUCGUUGCAGCUCUUGUUUUCAGGUGGAAAUGGGGACAAGUAAUGUUUCUUUUCCUUUCUUGGCCAGGCGCUACAGAGCGUGACCUGGGAGAGCUGACUUUGGAAGGAACUCUCUAUUCUGGCUCUCCCAGUUUUCAGGAUCCAACCCGCAGCUCCAGAAUGAGUGUGAUCACUCUGCCACUGCCUCAAAACGUGCCAUCAUAGGCCACCAAACGAUUGAAGAAAAAUAAUAGUUAAAAAAAACAUUUUAAUAUUUAUUUAUUUUGGAGAGGGAGAAGGAGAGAGAGCAUGACCAGGGGAGGGACAAGAGGGGGAGAGAGAAAAUCCAAGCCAGGCUCUGCGCUGUCAGUGCAGAGCCCAAUGUGAGGCUCAAACUCAUGAACUGAGAUCAUGACCUAAGCCAAAAUCAAGAGUCAGAUGCUCACUCGACUGAGCCACCCAGGCGCCCCUCCAUUACAUGUUUUGAUGACUGCCCCGCACCGGUGUGUUCGAACUCAACAACUCUGCCACUCACAGCCCCCAUCACUGGUGCACACAGAUUUCCCCAUCUCUGAACCAUUCAGACCCUGGAUUCCAGUUUCACACUGGUCAGGAUCUGGCCUUUCCUUCACCACGUCCCUAACAAGUCUCACAGGCCUGAUGCCAUGAUGCUACUUUCCCUUCUCCCAGGCUCCCCAGUGGCCUGUGGGCCUGUAGUGGACUCGCUGGUGCUCCGGGGUUUGACUGUUGCCAGGCAGACCUUGCUUUUCACCUCCUGCAUGCACUGAUCCCACGGUGAACAAAACGCCCUCGACACACACACAAUCUGAUAACAUGUUCUGACAAUCACAUGUAGAUCUUCCACCCUGACCACACUCUCAACAGACACAAUAAUGGCCAACACCCCCACAGUCAGACAACGCAGGGACACACAACUGUGUACAGAUCAUAUGACUAUAUAGUUUCUGACCACACAGAAUUGGUGACACACAUAUAGUCAUCAUAUAAAGGGAAUCUGGCUGUGCAUGUGUGUUUUGGUGUUGAGGCGUUUCACAUGUUGCCAUCAACAUGACAACCCAGGGCUUAGAGGGGAGAGGCUCAAGGCACAGAAUGUGUGCUGAUGCCCAUCAGAGCCUGGCAGUGCUUGUUCUUGGUAUAUUGUGUAAGAGGCAGGUGGAGCCUAAGGAUCUGCAUACUAAGUGUUUGGUACAAACAUACCAGCCAAAAAAAAUUUUUUUGGUAGAAAAACAUGCAGAAAAUUUAGCCAGGGUCCCGUGAGAAUGCAUGAAGGAUUCAGUAUGAGUCCAAACUGUCAGCUGAGGAUUUUUCCUCAGAAGAUUCAUAUUGCUCUUAAAACUUGCAUAUAAAUGUUGUAUACAUAUAAACACUGAAGCAUUCUUUGCGUUAAAAUAUUUCAAGUAGGGGUAACCUGGAUGGCUCAGUCGGUUAAGUGUCCCAACUUUGGCUCAGGUCAUGAUCUCACAGUUAGUGGGUUCGAGCCCCACAUUGGGCUCUGCACUGGCAGUUUGGAGCCUGGAAUCUGCUUCGGAUUCUGUGUCUCCCUCUCUCUACCCCUCGCCUGCUUGUGCAGGCUUGCUCGCUCUCUCUCUCUCCCAAAAAUAAA